rnacentral:lncRNA from 1 species
CAAGAUCUGGCUGUUCUCCUUCCUCAGCUGGCCGACCUGCGCGGUGAGACAAUCCAAAUGCUUCUGCUUGCGCAUCCUGGACUGCCUCACAGAUUCGCUGUUUGAUAUCUUUCUCUUUUGCUUCUAAAGGUUCAUCACUGCCUGCAGAUCCUCUUCGGAAGCUGACUUUGGCAGCAGGCUGGACCCAGAAGGAGUUCCAACAGGAGAAGCCAUAGAAGCUUUGUUCUUUUUGCAGUGAAAAUGAGAUUCUUUUUCUUACUAGCCUCUAUAAAUUUUAAUGGUAGUGCUCAAGCAAAGAGUAUAUAUUGGUUGGAAAUAUAGCUGAAUAGUGUGAAUAUAUAGCAAGACAAAUACUAUCAAGAAAACUAGGAGAUUCUAUGUAUAUAUAUAUGUAUAUAUGUAGAUCUCAGAACGAGCUCAUGAAAACACACAAAACCAGUAAAGGAAGACAACAGAGAAGGACUGAGCUUGAUGGGUCCUGCGCCUUAGCGUGAUGUUGAUCAUAAACCCAGAGAGAAGGAUCUCACUUAGGAUAAGCGACAUCAAUUAGAAAUGUCAAGAGCAACAGAUGCUGCAUGUGACAAACACACAGGAGGCUUUAGUAUACAAAGAUCAGAGAAAUGAUUUUGCCCCUCCC